CAGUAGCCGCGGGAAUACGGAGGGUGCAAGCGUUAAUCGGAAUUACUGGGCGUAAAGCGCACGCAGGCGGUCUGACAAGUCAGAUGUGAAAUCCCCGGGCUUAACCUGGGAACUGCAUUUGAAACUGUCAGGCUGGAGUCUUGUAGAGGGGGGUGGAAUUCCAGGUGUAGCGGUGAAAUGCGUAGAGAUCUGGAGGAAUACCGGUGGCGAAGGCGGCCCCCUGGACAAAGACUGACGCUCAGGUGCGAAAGCGUGGGGAGCAAACAGGAUUAGAUACCCCGGUAGUCCCUGUCUCUUAUAC
rnacentral:rRNA from 1 species